rnacentral:rRNA from 1 species
UAGGGAAUCUUUCACAAUGGGCGCAAGCCUGAUGGAGCAACACCGCGUGAGUGAAGAAGGGUUUCGGCUCGUAAAACUCUGUUGUUAAAGAAGAACACGUAUGAGAGUAACUGUUCAUACGUUGACGGUAUUUAACCAGAAAGUCACGGCUAACUACGUGCCAG